rnacentral:rRNA from 1 species
AAGGAAAUCAACCGAGACCCUGUCAGUAGCGGCGAGCGAACGCAGGAUAGCCUAGUAAUAAAGUGAGUGAAUCUAAUACUCUGGAAUGGGUACUACCAUAGAAGGUAAUAGUCCUGUGGAUAUUACUACUUAUUACAUCUAGCUCAUAUUUAAAUGUAUAUGAGUGAGUAGAGCGGCAUUAAACCUGCUCGAAUACGGGGGCACCAUCCUCCAAGGCUAAGUAUGAUAUGUUUAGCGAUAGUGAAGAGUACUGUGAAGGAAAGGUGAUAAGCAAGUCGAUGACUGGUGAAAUAGAGCCUGAACUAGCAAUCCUACAAGCAGACAGAGUAUUUAGUUAUGAUGUCGUACCUUUUGCAUAAUGGGUCAGCAACUUAAUAGUGUAGGCAAGAUUUAUAAGUCCAAGCGAAAGCGACUAUUUUGGUUUACUAGAAUGGGAUAAGUCUGCAUUAUUAGACCCGAAACGACGUGAUCUAGCCAUGGACAGGAUUAUAGGUCCGAACAGAUGUACGUUGCAUAGUGCUCUGAUGAUCUGUGGUUAGGAGUGAAAUGCUAAUCUAACGUCGUGAUAGCUGGUUCUCUGCGAAAUGCAUUGCAGUGCAGCGUCAAUAUAAAGCUUAUAGUAGGUACAGCACUGAUUGACAUGCCCGAUACUUCUAGCAAUAGAAUGUAAACGGCCGACUAGGGGGGUGUGAAAGCCCUAUCUAGGUCAGUUAACCUCGGAAUGAUUAUAAGUAUUCAUUGGCAGUGAGUCGUAGGGUGAUAAGGUCUUAUGACGAGAGGGAAACAGCCCAAACAAUGUGUUAAAGUCCCUAAGAUGUUGACAAGUGAAAUUAAGGAAGUGUGUGACCUGAUACAGCCAUGAUGUGGGAUUGGAAGCGUCCAUCAUUUAAAGAAAGCGUAACAGCUCAGUGGUCUAGGUCGCAUGCGCCGAAGAUAUACCGGGUCUUAAUCAACACACUAAUACCAUUGUAUAAGUCCAACUAUGCUAUUGUAAGCAGAAGUUGGAUUUAAUAAGUAGCAGAGCGUCCAGUACUUAUGAAGAGCAGUAUUUUAUUGUUUGGAGGUAACUGGAGUGAGGAUGCUGGCAUGAGUAGCAUAAAUGAAUGUUAAAUCAUUCACACCGAAAGAGAAAGGUUUCUGAGGGCAAGUUAGACUUCCUCAGGUUAUCAUUCCAUCUAGACUUCUAGAUGGUUUGGCGGUAUCUAAGGGAUUAGCCAAUGCGACAUCUCGAUGAUUAUAUUGCAAAACGGCCUAAGAAUAUUAGGUCCAGGAAAAAAUGCAAUCUAGCUACCGUACCUUAAACCGACACAGGUUCUCGGGUAGAGUAUACUAAGGUGACGGAAUAAUCAAAUUUAAGGAACUCGGCAAAAUGAUCUCGUACGUUCGACAAGAAGAGAUGCCCUCUAUAUAUUUAUAUAGCUGGGUGGCACAGAAUCGGGGGGUGCGACUGUUUACCUAAAACACAGCAGCCUGCUAACACUAACAGUGGUCGUAUAGGUUGUGAUUCCUGUCCGGUGUCUCGUGAUAUAGUGAUUAAAGUUGUAUUUUUCUAGCAAUAGGAGGUAUGACUUUGAAACUUGAAGACGAGAUAAACGACGGUCUUAACUAUAAGGAUCCUAAGGUAGCGAAAUUCCUUGGCCGCUAAUUACGGUCCUGCAUGAAAGGAACAGCGAUGCCCCCACUGUCUUAAAUUUGAGUCCGGUGAAAUUGAACUAGCCGUGCAGAUGCGGUUUACCACCAGUUAGACGGGAAGACCCUAUGCAACUUUACUAUAGUCAGAUAUUGUGUUAAUCUAACGUUUGUCACAGGCAUGAGGUAGUUUGGGUUCACUCAAACGUAAGUGAGAGACCUCAACAAAUCUUAGAUGCACUAACCUGUAUAUUUAACAGGGAAAGUGUCUGAUGGGUAGUUUUACUGGGACGG